ensembl:lncRNA
AUAGGGUCCUGCUUGAUUAUAUCAACAAAUCAUCGCCAUUGGGCUUCCUAAAAGAAAAGUGGGGACACUGGUUCGAUUCCUGGUCCAGGAAGAUCCCACCUGCCACAGGGCAAAUAAGCCCGUGCACCACAACUACUGAGCCUGUGCUCCACAGUAAGAGGAGCCACUGCAAAGAGAAGCUCGUGCACUGCAACGGGAGAGCAGCCCCUGCUCACACAGCUAAAGAAACCCCGCAUGCAGCAAUGAAGACCCAGGACUACUAAAGAUAAAGAAAUAGAAUUUUUUUUUUUUAAAGAAAUGAACCAUGUAUUGUUGAUUAA